rnacentral:rRNA from 1 species
GACGAACGCUGGCGGCGUGCCUAAUACAUGCAAGUAGAACGCUGAAGGAGGAGCUUGCUUCUCUGGAUGAGUUGCGAACGGGUGAGUAACGCGUAGGUAACCUGCCUGGUAGCGGGGGAUAACUAUUGGAAACGAUAGCUAAUACCGCAUAAUAGCAGUUGUUGCAUGACAACUGUUUGAAAGGUGCAAUUGCACCACUACCAGAUGGACCUGCGUUGUAUUAGCUAGUUGGUGGGGUAACGGCUCACCAAGGCGACGAUACAUGGCCGACCUGAGAGGGGGGUCGGCCACACUGGGAGUGAGAAACGGCCCAGACUCCUACGGGAGGCAGCAGUAGGGAAUCUUCGGCAAUGGACGGAAGUCUGACCGAGCAACGCCGCGUGAGUGAAGAAGGUUGUCGGAUCGUAAAGCUCUGUUGUAAGAGAAGAACGAGUGUGAGAGUGGAAAGUUCACACUGUGACGGUAUCUUACCAGAAAGGGACGGCUAACUACGUG